CUCUCCCUCCCUCCUUUCCUCGAGAUUGACGUUUGACAGGACCACAUCAUGAGAAAGCUCAGCGUUUAAUGUUUGCUUCGGGUUAGGCCAGGCCAAGGAGCAUCAUCGAAACACUCCUCUGGAUGUGUCUGAGAAAAUUUCAAGAAAUAUUUAACUAAUGAAGGAAGACCUGCUCUAAAUAUGGGUAGAGCCAUCCCAUGGGUUCAGGUCCUGGGAAGAAUGAAAAAGAGACAGUCAGCUGAGCACCACUAUUCACUCUUCUGCUUCCUGACCUUGUUCAACAAGCCACCUUACACACUUGCUGAGGUGCCCUCCCCACCAUGAUGAACCAUACCCUCAAGCUGCGAGUUCACAUAAACCCUGUCUUCUUUAA